GAAGAAGGCCCUUCGGGUUGUAAAGCCCUUUUGUUGGGAAAGAAAUCCAGCCGGCUAAUACCUGGUUGGGAUGACGGUACCCAAAGAAUAAGCACCGGCUAACUUCGUGCCAGCAGCCGCGGUAAUACGAAGGGUGCAAGCGUUACUCGGAAUUACUGGGCGUAAAGCGUGCGUAGGUGGUUGUUUAAGUCUGUUGUGAAAGCCCUGGGCUCAACCUGGGAACUGCAGUGGAAACUGGACAACUAGAGUGUGGUAGAGGGUAGCGGAAUUCCCGGUGUAGCAGUGAAAUGCGUAGAGAUCGGGAGGAACAUCCAUGGCGAAGGCAGCUACCUGGACCAACACUGACACUGAGGCACGAAAGCGUGGGG
rnacentral:rRNA from 1 species